AUAGGUAAAUAAAUAUGGCGGACAGACAUUUUUGGGUGUGUAAAAUGUAUUUACUGUGUUUCAGUCGUGAAUAACAUAAAUAAUGGACUUUAUGUGGUAAUUAACACAAUACAACAGUAAUCUAUACAAAUAUAAAUGAGUGUUAACUAGUUGGUGUCACGUGAGCUUUUAAAUCAAUGAAUGUGCCUGUUGUGACUGACGAGAGAUAGGAAUAAAACUCCGAUGCGUCGUUUCUCUCCAUCAGUUUGUUAAAAAGUAAGACGCGACUUAAAGCGAUGUUGUAAUGUUUAUUGUGGUUGUACGCUGAGAAUUAAUGGUUGUGUGUGUAGUUGUGCUGCCAGGUGUAGCCGUAGUAAUUACAUUUGCAAGGGUCUUAUUAGAUUCUGAUGCGCCGCGACCGGCGAAGGCGCUAGGCAGUGCGUCUGUCUCUGUCAUAGCGACCGGGCACACCUCCGUUGACCUAUUUUCUGGUUAAUGCAUUGAAGCUAACUAUUUAUGUCUAAGGGUGUAAAGUAGGGCGCCGCCGGUUCUGGUUGCAAUUAUUGAAAUUUGGUGAAAAUUAAAUUUGAAUUGUGCUGUGAGUGAUAAGUUGGAAAUAAACUUGUUUGUUUAGUGCCAGUGGCUGAGUGAGGUGGGGAAGUGGUUGUGUGUGGAUUUUAUUCAUGUCUGAUAAAUGCAAUAAAUCGUUAACAAUUAGAAGAGAAAAUAGCAAUAAAUGCCUAACGUAGCUAGAACAAUGCAAUCAAGAAGUGCCGUCAAGAGUUUACAAAUAAAACAGUGCGAGAAAACAUCAGUAUGAUGGAAUCAGACCUUCCGCCUGGUAGCUGUAACUCCACCGGACAUCUGUCCACUAUUGGCUAUCACACCCUGCCUGGUCGGAUGCAUCAUUCCGCCAGCACGCCGGCCGGCGUGGAUGGCGCCGGCGGCGGGUCACGCACGCCGCCGGCGACGCCGAAAAAGGGCGGCAAGAUGCUCGCCGUCAGGGUGCAAAUGCUGGAUGACUCCAUUUCCAUGUUCCAGAUACAGUCGAAAGCGCUGGGGCGAGUGCUGUUCGAGCAGGUCUGUCGACAGUUGCACCUGCUCGAGGCGGACUACUUCGGCCUGGAGUACCAGGACACCAACAACACCAGGUACUGGCUGGACGUGGAGAAGCCGAUGUGCCGGCAGCUAGGCCUGACGAUGCUGGAGCCGACGCUCCGCUUCUGCGUCAAGUUCUACACGCCCGACCCUGCGCGCCUGGAGGAGGAGUUCACGCGCUACCUGUUCUGCCUGCAGGUGAAGCGUGAUCUCGCGCAAGGCUGCAUCCAGUGCAACGAGAAUACCGCCGCGCUCAUGGCCAGCUAUAUCGUGCAGGCGGAGUGCGGCGACUUCGUCCCGGAGGACUACCCGGACCACACGUACCUGAGCGGGUACAAGUUCUUCCCCGGGCAGGACUCGGAGUCCGAGCGCCGGAUAAUGGAGAACCACAAGAAACACACGGGUCAAAGUCCAGCGGAAGCGGACUUGAAUUUGUUGGAGACAGCACGAAGAUGCGAGUUAUAUGGCGUCAAAAUGCACCCGGCCAAAGACCACGACAACGUGCCCUUGAACCUGGCUGUCGCGCAUAUGGGCAUCGUGGUGUUCCAGAACUUCACGAAAAUCAACACCUUCAGCUGGGCCAAGAUCAGGAAGAUAUCCUUCAAGAGGAAAAAGUUCCUCAUCAAGUUGCAUCCGGAGGGAUAUGGAGCGUACAGAGACGUGGUGGAAUUCUUCUUCGAAGGUCGCAACGAAUGCAAGAACUUCUGGAAGAAAUGCGUCGAGAACCACGGUUUCUUCCGGUGUACCAGCGUGCCCCGCCUGCCGAGGCAUAAAACCAGGGUCAUAUCUAGGGGAUCCUCAUUUAGGUAUAGCGGCAAAACGCAGAAACAAAUCGUAGAGUUCGUGCGAGACAACUACGUGAAACGGCAAACAUUCCAAAGGGCGGGGUCGUUCCGCGCGUCGCGCUCGGCGGGCGGCUCGCGCGCGUCCGUGGCGCCGCCGCCGCUGAACACCAGCGUGUCGGCGCACCCGCUGCUGCCGCUGCCGCCGGGCUCCGACGCGAUUUCCCUGGAGUGGGACAAGCAGCCUCACUACCUGGAGGCCUCUCUGAUGAUGAAGGGAUACAGCGCGGAGGAAGCGCGCGCGGCGGCGGAGAGGGCGGCCCAGCGACGCACCUCGGAGGGCGCGACUCGCCCGCCUCUCGCAGCUACCGCCUAUGCCACCACGAGGGACAAGCUGUCAAAGCUGUACUGCAGCCAAAUCGGUGCUCCCGAGCUGGUGACCCGUGUCGAGGUCAACCAUCGUCCUACGGCGGAUUCGCCUCCGCCUCAUCAGAUGACGACACCAUCGGGUUCUCCGGAGAAUACAUGGAACCUGCGGAGUUCGGUCGCGAGUGGCCGCGCGCGCGCGCCCACUCCGCCGCCGCGUGCCCCGCGCCCCCGCCCGCCGCCAGACGAGAUAUCUCCGGACGAAACAGAAGAGAACACGAUAUCAUCAGCGAGUCUGUGUAUGUCGCCGACGCCGGCUGAGAGAACCGAGGCGCCGCUGUGUGCGUCAACGCCACUUGCGGUCAAGUCGGGCACAACGGGUGCCUUGACCAACGGCCAUGAUGCAGUGGACAAGGCCAGCUCGGACGUCAUCAACGGGAAUGUCAAUGUAAACAUAGUCUCAGAAUCAACAUACAGCAUGGACGUUUUGAGCGGAGGUGAAAGCGACGCCGGUGACACGUUGCAAAGGCGGAAUAACAACAACAAUAGCAUAUCAUCAAACCUGACGGCGGCGGUGCGUGACGGCACGAUAGACGCGGCGAAGCGUCGCGGCGCCGAUUUGACAUACUUCAUAGCUAAAGAGCUGCUCAUGACCGAGCGCACUUACAAGCGGGACCUGGAGCUCGUCACUGUGUCGUGGUCGCGUCGCGUAUCAUCUUUAGCGGCCCGCGGGAGCGCGAGCGCGGAAGCGGCGGGUGCCCUAGCACGCGCGUGCUUAGCGCUCGAGCCUCUAGCACUGGCUUGCGGUGCGCUGCUGGCGCGGCUGGACCGCACGCUCGCCGCCGCGCACGCGCCGCCGCACGACGAGCUGGAUAACGAGGAACCGGAAUACAGAAAAAUUGAUGAGUUACUACUAGAAUACCUUUCGAAUACGUAUGAUGCCUACACGCAGUACACGGAACGAGUGGGCACGCUAGUGGGUCUCGUGGAGAGCGUGCGGCGAGUGGACGCCGCCGCCCGGCAGGAGUGCGCGGCGUUCGAGGCGCAGUCGCCGCUGCCGCUCGCCUGCCUGCUGCUGCGGCCGCCGCACCGCGCGCUGCGUCUGUACACCGUCGCCGCCGAACUGUACGCAGCCGUGGGUACGGCGGCGGCGGCGCAGGCGUUGGAUUUAGCAAAACGCGCGGGAGCGGCGGCGCGCUCGCAGUUACGUCACGCAGAGAACCACGCCGCACUCUGCCAGCUGCAGCGCGACAUAGUGGGUUACGAUAAACUGCUAGUAGCUGAUAGAGAAUUCGUCAGAUUAGGCUGCGUGUACAAACAUUCCACACGGGGACUGCAGCAAAGAAUGUUAUUUUUGUUCAGUGAUAUCUUAGUAGUGGCGUCUCGAGCGGGCGGCGGCCAUUUUCGAGCGCACUCCGCCAUCCCUCUGCACAUGCUAGUGCUCAAACAUGCCGACUUGCCGCAUUCCUUCGUGCUUGAAGGGGAAGAUGUUCAACUAUUGAUUAGUACGAGUAAUGACCAAGAGUACGCUGGGUGGACGCGGGCGUUCGAUGAAACUAUAGCAAAUGCGCAUGAAAACCCUACGGAAAUAGACACGGAGUUAACGCCUUAUGAGCACGAUAUGGCGGAGGAAUCGUUGAGCGCAGGCGGCGCGGGCGGCGGCCUGGCGCACGUGUGCUGGCAUCGCGCCACGUCUCUCGCGCGGGAUCAGCUGCACCUGGCUAUGCGGACGCAGCUGUCGGGCUACCUGCUGCGCAAGUUCAAGAAGUCGCCGGGCUGGCAGAAGUUGUGGGUGGUGUUCGCGCAGUUCACGCUGUUCUUCUACAAGGCCUGGCUCGACGACGCGCCGCUCGCCUCGCUGCCGCUGCUCGGAUACGGCGUGAGCGCACCGAGCGCGGGCGACGGCAUCGACAAAGACUUCGUGUUCAAGCUGCAGUUCAAGAACCACGUGUAUUUCUUCCGGGCAGACAGCAUGUUCACGUACAACAGAUGGGUUGAAGUCUUGCAAACAUCGAUGGUGCAAUCGGAUCACAAUUAGUUUUAAUAUCGUAAAAUAGUAUUAUUCAAUGUAAAUGUUUUGUCACAUUCUAAUUAUUUUAAAUGUUCGCCAAUAAAUUAUUAAUAUACAAAGACAAUACAAAAUAUUGGUGCCAUAGCGAUAUAUUAUUCAAAUGUCUAUCAAAAUAUUUUAUUAGAUCAAUAUUAUGCAUAUAAAUCUUGCCCCCUUUUAUAGAUUUUACGAAAUUCUUGAAUAAAAUCUUGAUGUAUUGAAUUAAUAUAUUCACAUGAAAGUGCCUUUAUAGCAUUAUUUAGUCCAGAUAUUACUUUGUUGUAUUUAUAUUUAUUUAAGUUCGUAUAUUAGCACUAGUUUGAUUCCAGCUAGUACCUUAUUUAGAUGAAUUUACUGAAACGUGAUGUCACACAUUAGGUCUAAGUGUAUGUGUUCCAUUUAAAGGAAUUUGUCUUCGUGUAGCAGCUGUGGGAGUUUAUAUUUUUUCAUUCGGGUUUUAUCUUGUUGACUAUAUUGCAAUAAAAAAAAAAUUUAAGUUGGUACAUAAAUCGCCCACCAAAUGAACUUGGCAGUGCUACAAAUGAGUAUUUUAGGGGUAGUAAAGGUAUACAGUACAAUUUCGUGUUAAGAAAAGUGUGUAAUGAACACAGACGAAAAGGUAUAAAAAUAAAUUGAGUUGAUACAUUUUAAUAUUCCGGAACUGUUGAGAUAAAAGAAAAAAGAGUAUUGGAAAAAAUCCAUUACAUCGAUAUACAUCGUGCGUUUGAAGUAUUUUUGAGUUCAUUUUAUGAUAUUAGCAGCAUAAUUUGUGAUAUUUAACGGCAAUAAGGUCACAUGACACGUGCCAAUGUUUUUGAUAUUUUUGAUGACGGAAGAAUGAGUGUGGGUAUAUUUUACCCGACACCUACUUUAUGUUUAUUUAAAAGACUAUGAUGAAUUGAUAGAAUAAGCAAUAAUAAAUGUAUUUAAAUACUGGAGCUAAUUUGGGGAUUUUAAUCGUAGCAUUUGUUUCUAAAACGUUUUUGGAAUUGUGUAGCGCUUGGGAAAUAGCAAUCUCUAUAAAUUAAUACAUAAAUAUGUGAUGCUUAACAGUAAUACACGUACCUUAGUAGAUGAGUGGUAAUAUUUUUAUAAAUUAUAUUCUCCGUCUCGGUGCGGUUAGAUUCGCGGGCCAAAUCUUUGCAACUGUAAUAAUAUUAUUAUCAUGUGAUAUAUGUUUCCAGCUAGAUCCACAUUAGACUAGUGUAUGUUGUUCAUCUCAACAAGUGAUAGCGAUUUAUUAAUUUUAUCAAUCAAGGAUGUGACGUAUUUCCAAAGCUAUAUUAAUUAGUUUUAUAUUACGAAUUAUUUAUAAUUAUACCCGUAAGUUUCAUAUUUGUAUUCCAACAGUGUUUAUAAAACGAUUGGAUGAAUGAAACGAAUAAAAUGCUGCGUUCGAA